GAUGAAGAACGCAGCGAAAUGCGAUAAGUAAUGUGAAUUGCAGAAUUCAGUGAAUCAUCGAAUCUUUGAACGCACAUUGCGCCCGCUAGUAUUCUGGCGGGCAUGCCUGUCCGAGCGUCAUUUCAACCCUCAAGCCCCCGGGCUUGGUGUUGGGGAUCGGCGAGCCUCCGCGCCCGCCGUCCCCUAAAUCUAGUGGCGGUCUCGCUGUAGCUUCCUCUGCGUAGUAGCACACCUCGCACUGGGAAACAGCGCGGCCACGCCGUUAAACCCCCAACUUCUGAACGUUUGACCUCGGAUCAGGUAGGAAUACCCACUGAACUUAAGCAUAUCAAUAAGCGGAGGA
rnacentral:misc_RNA from 1 species